AUGCAAUGCGACAACGGCGGAGAAUUCCUCACCACCUCUUUACGGUCCCUUUUCUCCACCCACGGCUCCUCUUUCCGUCUCUCCUGCCCCCACACCUCACCGCAGAACGGAAAAGCAGAGCGCCUCAUCAGGACGACGAACGACAUCCUUUGGGUGUUACUCAUCCAUGCCCAUCUACCACCCGAAUUUUGGGUUGAGGCACUCCACGUUGCCACCCAUGUCCUCAACUGCCGUCCUUCGUCCGCCAUCCAGCACCAAACACCUCCCGUCUACUUGGGUGUCACCCCACCUACGACCAUCUUCAAGUGUUCGGAUGCUUGUGCUUCCCCAACACAUACGCCACCAGCCCGCACAAACUUGCCCCACGUGUCGUCCGCUGCCUCUUCCUUGGAUAUGCCCUCGAACUUUAGAGCUACCGCUGCCUCGACCUUGCGUCGCGGCGCGUCAUAA
rnacentral:rRNA from 1 species